GCCUUCGUGGUGUAAUGGUCAGCACGCUGGAUGCAUUUUCUAAAGGUCCGUGGUUCAACUCCCGGCGAAGGCA
rnacentral:tRNA from 1 species